GACGAACGCUGGCGGCGUGCUUAACACAUGCAAGUCGAACGGAAAGGCCCCUUUGGGGGUACUUGAGUGGCGAACGGGGGCGUAACACGUGAGUAACCUGCCCUUGAUUUCGUUUUAACUUCAGGAAAGUGGGGCUAAUAACGGUAAGAAAUCCUUCCUGCAUGGUGGGGGUUGGAAAGAUUCGGGGGUCUUGGGUGGACUCGCGGGCUAUCAGCUUGUUGGUGGGGUAGUGGGUUACCAAGGCGUUGACGGGUAGCUGGCCUGUGAGGGUGAGCGGCCGCAUUGGGACUGAGAUGAGGCCCAGACUCCGAAUGGAGGAAACAGGGGGGAAUAUUGCACAAUGGGCGGCAGGCUGAUGCAGCAACGCCGCGGGCGGGAUGACGGCCUUGGGGUUGAAAAACGGCUUCAGCAGGGGAGAAGCUUGUGGUGACGGUACCUGCAGAAGAAGCACCGGCUAACUACGUG
rnacentral:rRNA from 1 species